rnacentral:rRNA from 1 species
UACGUAGGGGGCUAGCGUUGUCCGGAAUCAUUGGGCGUAAAGCGCGUGUAGGCGGUCCGGUAAGUCCGCUGUGAAAGUCGGGGGCUCAACCCUCGAAUGCCGGUGGAUACUGUCGGGCUAGAGUGCGGAAGAGGCGAGUGGAAUUCCUGGUGUAGCGGUGAAAUGCGCAGAUAUCAGGAGGAACACCGGUGGCGAAGGCGGGUCUCUGGGCCGAUACUGACGCUGAGACGCGAAAGCGUGGGGAGCGAACAGG